rnacentral:rRNA from 1 species
UGGGGAAUUUUGGACAAUGGGGGAAACCCUGAUCCAGCCAUCCCGCGUGUGCGAUGAAGGCCUUCGGGUUGUAAAGCACUUUUGGCAGGAAAGAAACGUCAUGGGUUAAUACCCCGUGAAACUGACGGUACCUGCAGAAUAAGCACCGGCUAACUACGUGCCAGCAGCCGCGGUAAUACGUAGGGUGCAAGCGUUAAUCGGAAUUACUGGGCGUAAAGCGUGCGCAGGCGGUUCGGAAAGAAAGAUGUGAAAUCCCAGAGCUCAACUUUGGAACUGCAUUUUUAACUACCUGGCUAGAGUGUGUCAGAGGGAGGUGGAAUGCCGCGUGUAGCAGUGAAAUGCGUAGAUAUGCGGAGGAACACCGAUGGCGAAGGCAGCCUCCUGGGAUAACACUGACGCUCAUGCACGAAAGCGUGGGGAGCAAACAGG